rnacentral:rRNA from 1 species
UACAGAGGUCCCAAGCGUUGUUCGGAUUCACUGGGCGUAAAGGGUGCGUAGGUGGCUAGGUAAGUUCGAUAUGAAAUCUCCGGGCUUAACCCGGAAAGUGCAUUGAAUACUAUCUAGCUCGAGGGUUGGAGGGGGGACUGGAAUUCUCGGUGUAGCAGUGAAAUGCGUAGAUAUCAGGAGGAACACCGAUGGCGAAGGCAGGUCUCUGGGCCACUACUGACGCUGAGAAGCGAAAGCAUGGGGAGCGAACAGG